UCCCCAGUGGCUCAGCGGUAAAGAAUCUGCCUGCAAUGCAGGAGACAUUGGUUCGAUCCCUGGGUGGGGAA
rnacentral:tRNA from 1 species